GGGGCCGUAGCUCAGAUGGGAGAGCGCCGCAAUCGCACUGCGGAGGUCCGGGGUUCGAUUCCCCGUGGCUCCA
rnacentral:tRNA from 1 species